rnacentral:rRNA from 1 species
GAUGAACGCUAGCGGCAGGCCUAAUACAUGCAAGUCGAGGGGUAUGGGUUGCUUGCAACCCAGAGACCGGCGCACGGGUGCGUAACGCGUAUGCAAUCUACCUUAAUCAGGGGGAUAGCCCGGAGAAAUCCGGAUUAACACCGCAUAACAUUGAGUUGUGGCAUCACAGUUCAAUCAAAUAUUUAUAGGAUUAAGAUGAGCAUGCGUGACGUUAGUUAGUUGGUGAGGUAACGGCUCACCAAGACCACGAUGUCUAGGGGAUCUGAGAGGAUGACCCCCCACACUGGUACUGAGACACGGACCAGACUCCUACGGGAGGCAGCAGUAAGGAAUAUUGGUCAAUGGGCGCAAGCCUGAACCAGCCAUGCCGCGUGCAGGAAGACGGCCCUAUGGGUUGUAAACUGCUUUUGUACCGGAAUAAACCUUCUCUUGCGAGAGAAGCUGAACGUACGGUAAGAAUAAGGAUCGGCUAACUCCGUG